GACGAACGCUGGCGGCGUGCUUAACACAUGCAAGUCGAGCGGUAAGGCCCUUUCGGGGGUACACGAGCGGCGAACGGGUGAGUAACACGUGGGUGACCUGCCCUUAGCUCUGGGAUAAGCCUGGGAAACUGGGUCUAAUACCGGAUAUGACUCCAUGACGCAUGUUGUGGGGUGGAAAGCCUUGUGCGGCUGGGGAUGGGCCCGCGGCCUAUCAGCUUGUUGGUGGGGUGAUGGCCUACCAAGGCAA
rnacentral:rRNA from 1 species